rnacentral:lncRNA from 1 species
UUAGGUCUGGAUUCAUUAUAUAUGGUCUACUUAGUUUUUUAUUUUUUAUUUUUGUUAAAUGAAUGUAUUAUCAUAUAUUUGUAUUUCCUUCCUUUUAAAUAUAAUUUCCCCUUAUUAAUUUUUCUCUUCCUCUUUUUUCAUAUAUCUGGAUUCAUUAUGUAGACAGAUGCAAUACAAGCUAGCGUCAAAGAGAUCGACUAUGAUUUUGUAGCUCCAAAAAUA